rnacentral:rRNA from 1 species
GACGAACGCUGGCGGCGUGCUUAACACAUGCAAGUCGAACGGAAAGACCCUGCUUUUGUGGCUUUCUCGAGUGGCGAACGGGUGAGUAACACGUGAGUAACCUGCCCUUGACUGUGGGGUAACUUCAGGAAACUGGGGCUCAUACCGGGUAGGAUCUCCUGCUGCAUGGGGUGGGAUGGAAAGUUUCGGCGGUUGUGGAUGGACUCGCGGGUUAUCAGCUUGUUGGGGUGGUAGUGGCUUACAAAGCGUUUGACGGGUAGCCGGCCUGAGAGGGGGACCGGGGACAUGGGGACUGCGAGACGGCGCAGUCGGCAACGGGCGGCAGCAGGGGAGAAUAUGGCGGAAUGGGGGGAAGUCUGUUGUAGCAGCGCCGCGUGCGGGAUGAUGGCCUUCGGGUUGUAAACCGCUGUGGCAGGUGAUGAAGCGGGAUUGACGGUAAUGGGUAAAGAAGCACCGGCUAACUACGUG